AAAAAAUCUAUCCUGUGUCGUUCCUAACUGAAGCUGCAAUCCUGUACUUAAUUAUGUAGGAGUAAGCUGAUCCCCGAAGAAUUGAUGCUUUUGAAUUAUGGUGCUGGAGGAGACUCUUGAGAGUCCCAUGGACUGCAAGAAGAUCAAACGUAUCCAUUCUUAAGGAAAUCAGCCCUGAGUGCUCACUGGAAGGACAGAUCCUGAAGCUGAGGCUCCAAUACUUUGGCCACCGCAUGAGAAGAGAAGACUCCCUGGAAAAGACCCUGAUGUUGGGAAAGAUGGAGGGCACAAGGAGAAGGGGACGACAGAGGAUGAGAUGGUUGGACAGUGUUCUCGAAGCUACCAGCAUAAGUUUGACUAAACUGCGGGAGGCAGUGGAAGACAGGAGUGCCUGACAUGCUCUGGUCCAGGGGGUCACGAAGAGUCGGACACGACUAAACGACUAAACAACAACAAGAAGCCCCAUUAAACUUGGUGAGACUUGCUUUUGAGUAGACAUGUAAAUGUAAAUGAGUAGACAUGUAAAUAACAUGUACUGUUAUUUACUCAUCAGUGUAUUUAUCCCUUCCAGUCAUGAUCCUACACACCUGCCUGACAGCCUCUCUUUCCUGGGAAUUCUCUCUCUCUCCCUUUCUUGGGGGAGGAAGUUUAAUCAGAUAUAAUUAAUAUGUGCUAUAGGUAGCCUAAUCCUGAUGUGUCUGAUUGAGCAGUGUUCACAACUUUUAUGAAGGUAGCUACACAACCUAUUUCAUCUAUCUAUGUAGUACUUUCAGAUAGCAUUUAACAAGACUCCGGUUAUAUACUACAAGUCAGUCACAGCAGAUCUAGACAUUUUAGUUGAGUCUGAACCUGAAACAAGUAGAGGGUGGAUGUUUCUUGGCUGCAAGUGUCACUGUCGGUUUCUGCCAUGGACAGAGAUAAUCAAGGUGUGAUUAUAUUCUUCAGAUUCUAAUGAAAUGUGGAGGGAGGCAGAAAAUUAGCUGUAAUGACAAAAUAAAUCAAAAGCCAUUGAUAUACUUUCUCUUUAAGGCAAGCAUCCAAGGAACCAAGGCACCUGGAACAAAGAAAUAAUCUAUAGAAGCAAUGAAGACUGACAUGAUUUACACAGAUUUCCUACGAAGGUAGCAGGGAGAGAAAAAUGGCAAAACACCAUACACAUUUUUAACAGUAUGGUGGUUGAGUUUCAAAGUGAGUGGGCAGAAUUACAUUCAUAAAUCUCUAAAACUGUCAAUAGAAACUGACUGCACACAUCCCUGUACUUCAAAUUCUAUUUGGUAUCAUUUCUAUUUUUCAUAGGAGUAAUUUAAGUGAUGAGAUAUCUUGGAGUAGACUUGUGUUUAUAUUUAAGGAAGUUCCGUGAAUUUCCUCCACAAUGGACAAUAGGUAUAUGGUAUUUACUAAAGAAAACAUUUAACAGCUUUUAAGCUCCUCUGUUGAGAAUUCCAACAUAAGGCUUUGUAAUACAUGCUGCAAUUUGGGGUGCAGAAAAGUCAAAUAGCAUAAGGGAAGAUUGGGGUUCCUUUUCCUUUGUUUUUUUUUUUUAAGUCACUAGUUGAUUCCAGCAGUUGGCUGAACAUGACUGCCACACACCAUCCCUUUGAGUCUGAGUGGUGCUGUGAAGUGGUUUAAUGUGAGAUACAUUUCUGGUAACUUUAUGAUCUCCCUACUAUGCAAAGACCACUGUGCCAUUUAGCCUUGUGGUUUGAUAUGGCACAGGCUAGAAGAGCAGAAAUAAGAAUCUGGACUCAGGCUAUGCUCAUUAGAUGAAGAGGUUUAUCUCAGAGUUCCUUCCCUGCUCACAGAUGCAUAUAGGUUGGUGUUCUUUCAUCCAGAAGUUCCCUUUUCCUUGUCUGCAGUCUUGAAAAGCUGCUGUCAGUCAAAGCAAGCAGAAGAAAACCUAGAGAGAUCAAUGAUCUUGCACAAGACAAGGCAGGUUCAUACGUUUUAAGGUGGAAAGCUUGAAAAAGCAAACUUCUUAAAUCUGAUUAACUAUUAGCCCGUAAAAUCAACCAUCGCUUUAGGUUUUGUGGAAAGUGGCUGAACAAAUGGAAAGGAAAAUAUAAAAAAUAUAUAUAUAAAUUCCAUCAGCUCCAGGCUAUCUUUAUAAAUGAACAGUGAAAGUAUUGAAAGCUUCAUUUCAGUUUGCUGUAUGUUUGUAAAUCUAAUCUUUCACCUUUCUCCUCACUAAUGGGAGGCUGCUAAUGGAAGAGCUUAUUGUUUUUAGCUGUAGUUCCCAAAAAUGCUAACAGGAAUAAAGAAAUGUAAAACCAUGUGUAUCUAUUGUAAAAUUAUAAAAGAAACCCGUACUGAUUUCUAAUUAUCUGCUUUGUGAAAAGGGAGAAAAAUAUGGAUGGUUUUAGUAUUUAUUUAUUAAAAAGGACAUUUCAGUAUCAGAGUGAGUAUCAUCCGGUAGUCUGGUAACAAGUGCUGCAAACCAGCCCUAAUAGGAGGUGACUUUUUCUAAUUCACAUUCCUUUCUUUGAAUAGGAACCAGACUGAAUGGGAGGUGGGAGGUAUGUGGAUGCACCUCCACUCUGGACAGUGCCCCCCCAAGCUUCCACCAGGCCACAACCCCAAUCCAAAUUGCCCUCCUGGAACUGACAUUAGCCUCAAGGGAGAAAACCGACAGCUGCAGUUCAAGUUAUAUGCUGCAGUGUGGCUCAUUCCGAAAAAGCCUCUGCUAUGCAUUUGGAACCCAUGUCUCUGACUUAAUAGAGAACCAGUUUUAUUAGACCAGAUUGCACCUGGAAGUCUUUUUUUUUAAAAAAAAAAAAAAGUAUUCAUAUACUGCUAUGGCAUAAGAAUAUAUCCAAGUGGUUUACACAUACACAUAUGCAUAUAUAAUAAAACACAUUAAAAUAUAAAAUCGGAAGCUAUCAACUAUUAUGGAAAGUUAUUUUCUUAACUGCCUGCAUAAGCUAAAAUUUUCAGCAGGCAUUUAAAGGUUGAACAGAAGGUGCCUACUAAAUUUCGAUUGGCUGUGCAUUUCACAGGACUGGGCUAAUCACACUAGGGCCUCUAUUUCAUGUUGAUGUCCAGCGAGGUUUGCCAACUCAGGGAACAAUCAAUGACAAUUCUGCACAUAACCUCAGUCACUGAGCUGGGAUAUAAAGGUUCAGGCUGUCCUUAAGGUAUCCUGGACCAAAGUUGUCCAGGGCUUUGUAAAUUAAUUCAAAGACCUCGAACCUGGCUUAGAACCAGUGCAGAUGUUUAACAAUAGUGCCAUGUGUUGUUAAAAAUGUGCCCCCAUCAGCCCACUAGCUGCUUGUAUGCUCAAGGGCAGCCAACGCAAGGUAGCAAACAAGUCUAAGGAUUCAGAAGGUUUAUAGGUCUGGCAGUUUCGCCUGGUUCGUUACGGCUUAUGGGCACAAAGAGACUGGUCUGCCUACAGUUUCAUCAUGAUCAAAGGUGGUGGUGGUACAAAAACUAAAAAAUAUUGCCAGAUAGCCCUCUGGUCACCAAUUCAAGGUGGACCUGCAGUGUCACCAUUUCAUAUUUUUACCUCACGCGCCUGUCAAGAAAAUAGGCUGUCACCACCCUCCCCUUUGCCGUUCCAUUUAGCUUCUCAGUAUAACUUGCAAAGAGUAUCAGGGCAGCAUAAAUGCACCCUCUGAAAAUAAUCUUAGUUCCUAGUGCACUUCUCUAAACCUCUCUUGACACUCCCCCCUCACACUCUUUAUCCUUUGGUAUAACCUCCUUCCAGCUUCAUGAAACAAAAGUCCCCAAUCUGAUGAGGAUCAAAGAGCAAGGGGUGUAUACUGCAUUCCACAUAAUGUGGGUAUUUUAGCUUCUUCUGCCUAUUUUGCAGAUUUCUAAGUGAAACCGUAGGAUCAAAAAGUUAAAUGGUCUUGAACAAAAGAUUGCUAAGCUUUUCAUGUCAUUUGAUAGUGAGAAGCCAUGUAAUAUCCCCUUUCUGAGUUGAACUGCUCCCAAUGUGAUUGAAGCCAGGGUGUAAUUAUAAUCAGAGCUGUGGAUCCACCACAUUAGUGUAAUAAAAUCCUCCUGGUGGAAAUGUUAAUUGUGUAGUAAUUGCAAAAUGAAAGGCCUUUGCUGUAAAAUAGCUUGGAUAGCAGAACAUGUCUGAAUGAGGCAAAAGUGGUCCACAGCAAGAAGUAGUGCUCAGAACUGAAGGAGAACUUAAGAAUUAGAUCCUUGUUUCACUGAAGAAAAGAGUCACACAGAGAGAGUUGGGCUACCACAUAUAGAAGAAGAAGAAGAAGAAGAAGAAGAAGAAGAAGAAGAAGAAGAAGAAGAAGAAGACGACUUUGGAUUUGAUAUCCCGCCUUUCACUCCCUUUAAGGAGUCUCAAAGCGGCUAACAUUCUCCUUUCCCUUCCUCCCCCACAACAAACACUCUGUGAGGUGAGUGGGGCUGAGAGACUUCAGAGAAGUGUGACUGGCCCAAGGUCACCCAGCAGCUGCAUCUGGAGGAGCGGAGACUCAAACCCGGUUCCCCAGAUUACGAGACUACCGCUCUUAACCACUACACCACACUGGCUCUCUACACAGGAUUUCAGCAGCUUCUGUGAUUACUAAAUGACAGCAUAUCUUCACUGUUCGCAUAUUGCACAUGGGAACCUGAUUAUGAAGAUGAGGGUGGUGAUGAUAGUAAUUUAUUACACUGCCUUCACCCUAAGAGCCCCAGGCAGCUUACAACAUUAAAACACAACAUUAAAAUAGUUUUAAAACAGUUUUAAACAACUCAGUCACUGACACAAGAUGGGUCCUAAAAAAACAUGUCAGAAGUGUCAAAUGCCAAGGUAAAGACAUAUAUCUUCAGCAUUUGUUGGAAGCUCUGUGAUGAAGGUGCUAGACACACCCUGUGGGGAGGGGCUGCUACAGAGAAUGGCUUCUCUCCCCCCCACACACACUCCACAAGGUUCCAAGGACAGUGAAACAACCCUCUGACAAUCUGGAGGGAGGGAGGUGUUCUUUCAGGUAUUUGGGCUUGAAUCGUUUACGGUUUUAGGCACUAAGGUGUCUAAAUAAGGGAUGGAGACAAACUGGCAACCAAAGCAUCUAUUUUUAAACAUAAAUUUUAUGAUUCUAUAGAUUAUAUGAGAUCUAAAUUGAACCCUUAGACAGUAAUCUGGCUGCUGCAUUUGAAAGCAAGUGAAGUUACUGAUAUCUUCAAGGACAACCCAACAUAGAGUGCAUUGUAAUAAUGUUAUCAGUAAUCUCUGUCCAAAAGUGUCCAUAGCUGGUGAACCACGCAGAGCUCAAAAAAGUCAAUUCUACACACUGGGUGCAUGUGGGGGCACCUGGUUCACCCCCCCCAAGAUUCUGUACCCAGGGCCCAGCCCCCAUGCUCCACCAGUGUACAAGGGUCAUCUAAUGAAUUUCCAGCUUUAAACCAUACUCACAACACUGAACUAAUUUGCAGAAGACAUGGAUAUGAAUGACUUCCCAUGCAGAAGAAAUGGCAAGCCUUUCCAUAGCUGACAUCUUUAUGAGAGAAUUGCAUAAUGAGAUUGCUUGAAAGUUUAGUACACAUAGGACUUUCUUCCGGUUGGAGUGCAGCUAGUGUGAUGACAGUGAAAUUGAACCAGCAAUAUGCAAGUGUUCUCUCUCUCUCUCUCUCUCUCUCUCUCUCUCUCUCACACACACACACACACACAC
rnacentral:lncRNA from 1 species